rnacentral:rRNA from 1 species
UACGUAGGGACCAAGCGUUGUUCGGAUUUACUGGGCGUAAAGGGCGCGUAGGCGGCUUGACAAGUCACUUGUGAAAUCUCCGGGCUUAACUCGGAACGGCCAAGUGAAACUGUCAUGCUAGAGUGCAGAAGGGGCAAUCGGAAUUCUUGGUGUAGCGGUGAAAUGCGUAGAUAUCAAGAGGAACACCAGAGGCGAAAGCGGCGACCUGGACAAGUACUGACACUCAACUACGAAAGCGUGGGGAGCAAACAGG